rnacentral:rRNA from 1 species
UACGUAGGGGGCAAGCGUUGUCCGGAUUUACUGGGCGUAAAGAGCGUGUAGGCGGCCAAACAGGUCCGUUGUGAAAACUCGAGCUCAACCUCGAGACGCCGAUGGAAACCGUUUGGCUAGAGUCCGGAAGAGGAGAGUGGAAUUCCUGGUGUAGCGGUGAAAUGCGCAGAUAUCAGGAGGAACACCGGUGGCGAAGGCGGAUCUCUGGGCCUUGCCUGACGCUGAGGCGCGAAAGCUAGGGGAGCGAACAGG